CCUACGGGAGGCAGCAGUGAGGAAUCUUCGUCAAUGGACGCAAGUCUGAACCAGCCAUGCCGCGUGCAGGAAGACGGCUCUAUGAGUUGUAAACUGCUUUUGUACGAGGGUAAACGCAGAUACGCGUCUCUGUCUGCAAGUAUCGUACGAAUAAGGAUCGGCUAACCCGGUGCCAUCAGCCGCGGUAAUACGGAGGAUUCAAGCGUUAUCCGGAUUUAUUGGGUUUAACGGGUGCGUAGGCUGUCGGAUAGGUUAGAGGUGAAAGCCCGAGGCUCAACUUCGGAAUUGCCUCUGAUACUGUGCGGCUAGAGAGUAGAUGCGGUAGGCGGAAUGUAUGGUGUAGCGGUGAAAUGCUUAGAGAUCAGACAGAACACCGAUUGCGAAGGCAGCUGACCAAGCUACUUCUGACGUUGAGGCACGAAAGCGUGGGGAGCAAACAGGAUUAGAUACCCUAGUAGUC
rnacentral:rRNA from 1 species